AAAAACAACAUGGUGAUGCUUAUGAUCACAAAAUGCACAUCCUAUUGAAACUGUUCUUGAGCUGGCUGGUUUUAGAUAUAACUCAGUUUCUGGGUUGGACUUUCAUCAACAACGUGCUGUUUGGGGCGAUUGUAAACACUCUAGUAACGCCGGUUGUCCUCUACGGGUUUGGCUUUGAAAAAGCUGGUAUCACCCGGGGCAGUGUCGCAGCUAGCCUUAGCUCAGCCGCCCACAAGUACAAGUUUGGUAGAUCGUAUGUGGCACUACUGCAAUCUAUAGGCACGUCUGGAAUUGGUUACCAAACGCCAUUAUUUGGUGCCUUAGUUGGUGCUAAUGUGUAUUCUAUCCGACAAUACUUCGGAACUUAGGCAUUGCCUAUCUUUUCUGAGAUCACACUUGGCCCACACCAUCCAGCUUCAUCAAUUCAUCACGUGACGUCAUUUGACCAGCACGUCAACACAUCAUCCUGGCUCAUUAGGUGACGUCAUUUGACCAGCACGUUCCUCAUCAUCCAGGCUAAUCAAUUCAUCACGUGACGUCAUUUGACCAGCACGUCCACACAUCAUCCAGGCUCAUUAAGUGACGUCAUUUGACCAGCACGUCUCUCAUAAUCCAGGCUCAUCAAUUCAUCAGGUGACGUCAUUUGACUUUCCUGCACCAUUCAGGAUCAUUAGGCGACGUCAUUUGACCAGCACGUCCGCAAAUCCUCCAGGCUAAUCAAUUCAUCAGGUGACGUCAUUUGACCAGCACGUGUCUCACCAUCCAGGCUAAUUAGGUGACGUCAUUUGACCAGAACUUUCCUGCACCAUCCAGGCUAAUUAGGUGACGUCAUUUGACCAGCACGUUCCUGCACCAUUCAGGCUCAUUAGGUGACGUCAUUUGACCAGCACGUCCGCAAAUCCUCCAGGCUAAUCAAUUCAUCAGGUGACGUCAUUUGACCAGCACGUCUCUCAUUAUCCAGGCUCAUCAAUUCAUCAGGUGACGUCAUUUGACCAGCACGUAUCUCACCAUCCAGGCUAAUUAGGUGACGUUAUUUGACCAUCCAGUUUCAAGCUAACAUCAUCGUCUAUUAGUUUUAUAUACAUGUUAUCCAGUACUAUAAUGCGGUUUUGUUAAUGAGAUUCCAUAAUUUAAGUAAUGAAUUUGUGAAUAUUUUUUUAAACGAAAGAUUCAACUUUUUAAUAGCUAAUAUUAUCCAUCACGUCUAGUUGCUUUAAGCUUCUAUAAUUUUACAAUUUCUUCCUCAAAACUA